GCCCGGGUGGUGAAAUUGGUAGACACAAGAGACUUAAAAUCUCUCGGCCUUUGGCUGUACGGGUUCGACCCCCGUCCCGGGCACCA
rnacentral:tRNA from 1 species